rnacentral:rRNA from 1 species
CUGGGCUCGAAAUGCAGUGGACCGGGGUAGAAAUAUCCCUUCCCCUUAAAAGGCUGCUGCAUAGGUGCUGCAUGGCUGUCGUCAGCUCGUGUCGUGAGAUGUUGGGUUAAGUCCCGCAACGAGCGCAACCCUUAUCCCUAGUUGCCAUCGGGUCAAGCCGGGCACUCUAGUGAAACUGCCUCGGAUAACGAGGAGGAAGGUGGGGAUGACGUCAAGUCCUCAUGGCCUUUAUGUCCAGGGCUACACACGUGCUACAAUGGUCGGUACAAACCGUCGCAAACCCGUGAGGGGGAGCUAAUCGGAAAAAGCCGACCUCAGUUCGGAUUGGAGUCUGCAACUCGACUCCAUGAAGCUGGAAUCGCUAGUAAUCGCGGAUCAGAACGCCGCGGUGAAUACGUUCCC